ACCUCCCUUUUCUUGUUGGUCAGCAUCUGAAGGUGAAAAAGGGACAGAGGAAGAAGAGUGGCAUUCUGAAAGGUAAGGCUCUGCCCUUCCAUUCCAGAGGUGACUUGCUGUCCUGUGUCCCCAAGAGACCAGAGCCAUGUCCCAGAUGUAACUUGCAGAAACCUAAGAAGGAGGAUCCUGGGAAAGAAACCAUACUAGAGAUACUUCUCAGGUGCCCAGAAUGAAGCUGUGGUGGGUCGGGGUGGGUGAUGUCCUGUAGGUUGGUGUGGGCACUAUUGGAGCCAUGUUGUCUGUGAUCCUGCCAAUGAUGAGAAUCAAUCAGGGCCAAGUUCUGUUCCCCUAGGGGUUAAGUCUGAACACCCAAGAAAUUCUGAGGGAAGCAUAGAAAGCAAGUUUUAUUUAGAUUUCUCUGCAGAAAAAGGAUCCCUGACACAUGUAUCCAAAUAAGUGGGGAUGUCUAGUCCCUUUUGUAUUUUAAAAUUCCUCUUUCUCAUGUCCUCCUUCUCCCUUUUUCUUGCCUCUCCUCUCCCAUUCUGCAUACAUGACCCAAAGGUGGGCCAAGUGAUCCAGGCAGGAAGGUAUCAGCCCAGGAGGCAUUAAUUAACUCCUACAACUCCCUGCAGGGAGGAACAAUUCUAGAGCAGGCUACCUUAGCAACAAGUUGUAGAAGUAGUGGGAGGGCACAUGAGAGGAGAAGGGAGAAAGACCAUUUGAUUUCCUUUCCUUUUGAACCAGCCCCAUCUUCCUGAUGAGACAGAUAUAUUAUCUACACUGACUGCCAUUUGUCUACCCUUCAACACACAUACUUCAUCUGGAUAUGGAAGUUAUAGUGAUUGCUGGUAGAAAGUGGAAGACAAUGAGGAUCUGCUUUCACUUCUAAAAAUAGACCACCUUCCAUCUCUGCAGGCCUCAGCCUGACUCCUCGUCAGUGUGACUCAAUGACACUCUCACUAGGCAUGAACCCACACAGCUCUUCUCCACCCACUAUUGAGUGCCUUCUCCUGUGCCAAGGCCAUCUCCUGGCUCAUUGUCAUCUCCUGGCACACUGCCUUCUCCUGGCCCAUUUUCAACUCCUGUCCCAUUGUCAUCUCCUGUCCCAGGAUUCUCAGGCCAUAUUCUCCCCACCUGUUCCCACAUCUCUCUCCUGGUGGCAGAUGGCUGCCAGAGUCUGGGGCCUCUCCCACUCCCCACACAGUAAAUCCAAGAGAGAUCAUGCUUUCACUCACCAGAGGACUCAUACUGGGGAACCACCCACUCUCACAAGUAGAGGUUGAAGGGACUCUUUCAUUAACCCUGAUGUCCAGAAACUAUUGGAGAUACUGAUCAGCAAGAGAGCAGAAAGGAAAAUUUGUAAUGUGAAGAUAAAAGAUGAAACAGU